AUGUUGUUCCUAUUUUUAAAACAAUGGUCUCCUUGGCAACUGUGUUUAACUCACAGGAUUUGUUCUGCUCCAGCUAGCCAGAGCAACUUAAAAGAAACAAACACCUUGAAACAGAACAAGUGUUCUCCUGGUUCUGCUCUCUUCACUUUGCAGCAGUUCAUGUAGGUCUUCCCAAGCCUUUCUUAAAUCAUUUUUCACACAAUUUCUUAUAGCACAAUAGUAUUCCAGGGAAUUCAUACACCCAACUUGUUCUGCCAAUUGAUGGACAUCCCCUCGGUUUCCAAUUGUUUGUCACCCCAAAAAUAAAAGAAAAAGAAAAGCUACUACA
rnacentral:lncRNA from 1 species